AGGGAAUCUUCCGCAAUGGACGAAAGUCUGACGGAGCAACGCCGCGUGAGUGAAGAAGGCCUUCGGGUCGUAAAGCUCUGUUGCCGGGGAAGAACAAGUGCCGUUCGAACAGGGCGGUGCCUUGACGGUACCCGGCCAGAAAGCCACGGCUAACUACGUGCCAGCAGCCGCGGUAAUACGAAGGUGGCAAGCGUUGUCCGGAAUUAUUGGGCGUAAAGCGCGCGCAGGCAGCUUCUUAAGUCUGAUGUGAAAUCUUGCGGCUCAACCGCAAGCGGUCAUUGGAAACUGGGAGGCUUGAGUGCAGAAGAGGAGAGUGGAAUUCCACGUGUAGCGGUGAAAUGCGUAGAGAUGUGGAGGAACACCAGUGGCGAAGGCGGCUCUCUGGUCUGUAACUGACGCUGAGGCGUGAAAGCGUGGGGAGCAAAC
rnacentral:rRNA from 1 species